rnacentral:tRNA from 1 species
UUCUUAAAAAGUGUUCAGUUUUGUAGUCUGAGAGCGGAGAAGUGGGUCUCCUUAGGAAA